rnacentral:rRNA from 1 species
UACGUAGGAGGCGAGCGUUGUUCGGAUUCAUUGGGCGUAAAGGGUGCGUAGGUGGCAUGGUAAGUCGGAUGUGAAAUCCCGGGGCUCAACCCCGGAACUGCAUUCGAUACUGCUGAGCUAGAGUACUGGAGAGGAGAUUGGAAUUUACGGUGUAGCAGUGAAGUGCGUAGAUAUCGUAAGGAAGACCAGUGGCGAAGGCGGAUCUCUGGACAGUUACUGACACUGAGGCACGAAGGCCAGGGGAGCAAACGGG